CCAGGAUGUCUGAGAGCAGAUUUGAACCCAGGACCUCCCAUCUCUAGGCCUGGCUCUCAGGCCCCCAAGUCAUCUACCUUCCCCCUAAAGUCUCUACUAGAAAGGGUCUCUGACACCAUGAUGAAUACCAAAAGGACCAAGGACUUGUCUGCCAGGCUUGACACAAAGAUUCAAAUCAAGAUAUCUUCUCAAUGUGUCUCAUCCUCUGUCAUGUGCUAUUGAAUGGAGGUUUACAUUCUACUAAGAGGAAACAACAUAUAUACAGGUUCGGUGGGGACAAUAAUCAGAUUGUUUCCUGUUGGCUUCCCGUGGCCUCUC
rnacentral:lncRNA from 1 species